rnacentral:tRNA from 1 species
GGUCCGCUAGCUUAGCCUGGUUGAGCGCACGGCUGAUAACCGUGAGGUCCUGGGACCGAAGCCCAGGCGGACCACCA